rnacentral:rRNA from 1 species
GAUGAACGCUGGCGGCGUGCUUAACACAUGCAAGUCGAACGAAAAGGCCCAGCUUUUGUGGCGUGCUUGUGUGGAGAGGGGGAGUGAAACACGAGUGUAACCCCCCCUUGUCUGUGGGAUAACUUCUGGAAACGGGGGAUAACACAGGAUAGGAUCUCCUGCUGCGCGGGGGGGGGGGGAGAGUUACGGUGGUUGGGGGUGGUCUCGCGGCUUAUGCGCUUGUUGGUGGGGUUGUGGCUGACAAGGGCUUUGACGGGUAGCCGGCCUGAGAGGGUGACCGGCCACAUUGGGACUGAGAGACGGCCCAGACUCCUACGGGAGGCAGCAGUGGGGAAUAUUGCACAAUGGGCGGAAGCCUGAUGCAGCGACGCCGCGUGCGGGAUGACGGCCUUCGGGUUGUAAACCUCUUUCGGCUGUGACGAAGCGUGAGUGACGGUACCUGGUAAAGAAGCACCGGCUAACUACGUG